AAAAACAUGUCUUAAUGUAUAUAUAUAUUAAGUCUAGCCUGCUCAAUGAUUUUUAAUUAAAUGGCCGCAGUACUUUGACUGUGCGAAGGUAGCAUAAUCAUUUGUCUCUUAAUUGGAGGCUUGUAUGAAUGGCUGGAUGAGGGGGUUUCUUUCUUUAUAUUAAUAGUUAGAAUUUAAUUUUUUAGUUAAAAAGCUUAAAUUUUUAAAUGGGACGAGAAGACCCUAUAGAAUUUUAUUAUUAUGAUUAUAUUAAAUUUUUGGAUUGCUUAUAUAUUUUAUUAUAGUUUAUAUAAUUUUGUUGGGGUGACGAGGGGGAUUUUUUUAACUCUCUUAUUUUUUGUUUAUAGAUUAAUAAUUUACUGAUCCUUUAUUAUGGAUAAUUAGAUUAAAUUACCUUAGGGAUAACAGCGUAAUUCUUCUGGAGAGUUCUUAUCGAUGGAAGAGU
rnacentral:rRNA from 1 species